GUUUGGAAACGAACGCUAAUACCGCAUAACAAUGAGAAUCGCAUGAUUCUGAUUUAAAAGAAGCAACUGCUUCACUACUUGAUGAUCCCGCGUUGUAUUAGCUAGUUGGUAGUGUAAAGGACUACCAAGGCGAUGAUACAUAGCCGGCCUGAGAGGGUGAACGGCCACNCUGGGACUGANACAUGGCCCANACUCCUACGGGAGGCAGCAGUAGGGAAUCUUCGGCAAUGGGGGCAACCCUGACCGAGCAACGCCGCGUGAGUGAAAAAGGUUUUCGGAUCGUAAAACUCUGUUGUUAGAGAAGAACGUUAAGUAGAGUGGAAAGUUACUUAAGUGACGGUAUCUAACCAGAAAGGGACGGCUAACUACGUGCCAGCAGCCGCGGUAAUACGUAGGUCCCGAGCGUUGUCCGGAUCUAUUGGGCGUAAAGCGAGCGCAGGUGGUUCCUUAAGUCUGAUGUAAAAGGC
rnacentral:rRNA from 1 species